UCCGUGUCUUUCAAGAUUACAGAUGAAUAAUUUUUGACCACUUGCAUUGGUUUAUCUUUCAGUCUAAAACUUUAACAGUUAACUUCUUCGCAAAGAUGAAAUCCUCCAUCAUUUACGCUGUGGUUCUGGUAUUUAUUGUACUGAUCCAAGAUGGCUCCGAUGCUUGUACCUGUUCUUCUGCAUCUUUGCCGUGCAGCAGUUGGCAUUACCAAUACAGCCAAUGCACAGCUCAGGGAACGGUCGCAUUCGCAACAGUUUCAAGUAAGCAAUCUAGAUCCGCCUGUACCGAGGGCUAUAGCUUACGGUUGGGAAGGAAACUACAUCUGGGUGAACCACGGAUGCAGGGCCAGUUUCCGGGUCAUUGUAUGUCACGAAUAAAGCAUACCUGGUACUGAUCUCUGAUCAGUUAUCGGAUGCUGACGUUCCAGUGACAACCGAUGGAGCUGAUGUUGCCACGAAUAUGUUCGGAUUAACUUUGCUAAAUAACUUAGAGUUUUAUUUAAAUACGGUUCUUUUUUUAAGCAAUGUUAAUACUUAAUCUAUUAACUUAUCAAUAUUUGUCCUCUCGUCAGUCUAUAUUUGUCAACUGUAAAAUCAAACUGGCCAAUAAAAAAAUUUCAGAUCUA